UACGUAGGGUGCAAGCGUUAAUCGGAAUUACUGGGCGUAAAGCGUGCGCAGGCGGUCCGCUAAGACCGAUGUGAAAUCCCCGGGCUUAACCUGGGAACUGCAUUGGUGACUGGCGGGCUGGAGUAUGGCAGAGGGGGGUAGAAUUCCACGUGUAGCAGUGAAAUGCGUAGAGAUGUGGAGGAAUACCGAUGGCGAAGGCAGCCCCCUGGGCCAAUACUGACGCUCAUGCACGAAAGCGUGGGGAGCAAACAGG
rnacentral:rRNA from 1 species